AACGAACGCUGGCGGCAUGCCUAACACAUGCAAGUCGAACGAGCCCUUCGGGUCUAGUGGCGCACGGGUUCGUAACGCGUGGGAACCUGCCCUUAGGUUCGGAAUAACUCCCCGAAAGGGGUGCUAAUACCGGAUAAUGUCUUCGGACCAAAGAUUUAUCGCCUUUGGAUGGGCCCGCGUUGGAUUAGCUAGUUGGUAGGGUAAAAGCCUACCAAGGCGACAAUCCAUAGCUGGUCUGAGAGGAUGAUCAGCCACACUGGGACUGAGACACGGCCCAGACUCCUACGGGAGGCAGCAGUGGGGAAUAUUGGAAAAUGGGCGAAAGCCUGAUCCAGCAAUGCCGCGUGAGUGAUGAAGGCCUUAGGGUUGUAAAGCUCUUUUACCCGGGAUGAUAAUGACAGUACCGGGAGAAUAAGCUCCGGCUAACUCCGUG
rnacentral:rRNA from 1 species